rnacentral:misc_RNA from 1 species
GAUGAAGAACGUAGCGAAAUGCGAUACGUAAUGUGAAUUGCAAAUUCAGUGAAUCAUCGAGUCUUUGAACGCACAUUGCGCCCGCCAGUAUUCUGGCGGGCAUGCCUGUCUGAGCGUCAUUUCAACCCUCAUGCCCCUAGGGCGUGGUGUUGGGGAUCGGCCAAAGCCCGCGAGGGACGGCCGGCCCCUAAAUCUAGUGGCGGACCCGUCGUGGCCUCCUCUGCGAAGUAGUGAUAUUCCGCAUCGGAGAGCGAUGAGCCCCUGCCGUUAAACCCCCAACUUUCCAAGGUUGACCUCAGAUCAGGUAGGAAUACCCGCUGAACUUAAGCAUAUCAUAAGCGGAGGA